CUCUCGCCUUGACUGUGCUGAGCUCCUCUUUGUUGACAUGCUGGAGGGCGGGGCCUGGGGGGAGUGCCGCAAUUACACACUGGCUCUCUCUUUUCUUUCAGGCUCUGCACAAACUCGCAGCAGACAAUCUGGAGCUGAUGCUGAGGGGUUUUUUGUCAGAGGCCCCAACCACACAGCAUCUCUUGUCCCUCCUGGAGCACAUCAACAUCUGGAUCCUCUCCAGGAAUGCCCAGGAGAGAGCACGAGCCAGCAAACAAUGCGCCAGCUUGCUCCGCUUUAGUGUCAUGAUGCCUGAUUGUGAUAACUCUGCAGAACUCCCCAGUUUGGGCCACCAUGUGGCGAAACUCGGAAUCUGCAUAAUGGAUUCCAGGAAGGAUGUCAGCCGAAACGCCAGGGAGGGAAUCUACCGGCUCCUAGAGGUGCUUCUCCACCACAAAGGUAAGGAAGCUGGCCAGAGCAGCAGAGACGCUGGGGAGCUGUGGAGCCGGAGAUGGCAGGAGGAGGAAAGAAUACUGGCCUAUCUGAACACCGCCAGAGUUGGGGAGGUUUUCAGGGAGAUCUUUAAUAAAGAUCAGGAAAGAUCCUUCCUGAGGACCACGAUUUGGGCCAUUAAUCAUCCCCUCCACAGGGUUAAGGAGGCUGGACUGAUCCUGCUGUACUCCCUCCUGGGCAAGGCCGAUGCACUGAUGGGGUAUGAGGUGAGCUACUGGUUAAGCUGCAUGGCAGUGGGGGUGGGGGGUGGCAUGUAAUCAAAAAGGGCCUCUGAUUCUGGUGGGUUGGGCAUUUUCCCCAUCUCCCCAGGAGGAGGAAAUCCGGAGGAAAAUCUGGCGUCGUCUCCGCCAAAUCAAAGAAAGCAAAGGGCUGCCUGAAGAAAUUGAAGGUAUCUUAAAAAACCAAGGUGCUACAGGCUCAAGGCAACAUCC